GGAGGCAAGCAAGACCUCUUCAUUUUAAAGCUGUUGUCACUUGAUUCACGAGUAUUUUCUAGAUACAAGCCGUCACUUGGUCUCUUAUUUCCCUACAACAGUUUGGCAGAUAGUAAACAAUUCUUCAUAAAAGAGGCCUGCUUCACGUUUUUUUGUUGGCACGACCAGUUGACGUUUUGCUGGAAAACUAAAUAAGAGAAUUACACUUUUGGGUAUUUAACAAACAGCCCAUCAAGUAUCUUUAUCUGACCAAAGUCUGCAAGCUUAAAUUCAAAAUGCCACCAAGCGAGCAUGGAUGUUGUGGUGGCUCAACUAAAAAGUAAAACUGAAAACAUUGCAAAGCCUCCCAAUAUCACAAAGUACUUCAAUCGAAGUAAUUAAUGGUUGAAUUGUGUUGGCCUCAAAGUAUAAAUGUUUUGUUGUCGGCAAAAAAAAUCUGGAUCACAACAUUUGAUCGCGAUGAUAUUGUCUGAACAAUCAUUUAUUUAAAUGGUAGCAAAACAAAACAAAAAAAACAAAUGCAAUACAUUUGGCAGAAUUCUUAUUCUUCCAUUUUUCUGUGUUUUAAUGUUUUCAACGUGAUUUCAACAAUGUCUUUAACUGAUUUCCCUCUCGUGCUAUUUACAGACUUUGUGGGCGUUCAUAAGAAGUCGUCUUCAAACGUGAUUUGAUUUGUAAUGUAGGGCAGCGUGCACACAGGAGGACGCACACGCCGACGACAUAAGAUCCGCCGCCCCUGGCGAGGGCUCCCCCGGCAGCGGCUCGCCGUUGUGCACCGGCGAAUCCUGGGAGGACGUCUCCGGGGGGUUGAUGAUGACCGAUUUCUCCGAGCGGCUGCUGUCUUUACUGCCGCUGGCCUUGUGACGUUCGCGGCCUCGCUCGCUGGACGGAGGACGACAAAGAUGGCGUGAGGGUGACUGAAGUCAAGAUUCAACCGAAAUAGUUCUCUCGUUUGCAGAGCAGACCGAGCGCAUCAGUGAUUCGAGCCACCGAAGUGCGACGGCCCAAAAUCACACGAGCGUCUGUCUCCCCGCUCCCACCCUCGACCAACUCAUCAAAGUUAUCAGGAGGCCCAAAUAAGCACAAAGCAGGCGCGAGUGAAGCGUCUGACGGGAAACUCACCC